GAUGAACGCUAGCGGCAGGCUUAAUACAUGCAAGUCGAGGGGCAGCAGGGGUGUAGCAAUACACUCGCUGGCGACCGGCAAACGGGUGCGGAACACGUACGCAACCUACCCAGAACUGGGGGAUAGCCCGGGGAAACCCGGAUUAACACCUCAUAAGCUAGUGGAGUGGCAUCACUCAGCUAUUAAAACUCCGGUGGUUUUGGAUGGGCGUGCGGCUGAUUAGGUAGUUGGCGGGGUAACGGCCCACCAAGCCUGCGAUCAGUAACUGGUGUGAGAGCACGACCAGUCACACGGGCACUGAGACACGGGCCCGACUCCUACGGGAGGCAGCAGUAAGGAAUAUUGGUCAAUGGACGCAAGUCUGAACCAGCCAUGCCGCGUGAAGGAUGAAGGUCCUCUGGAUUGUAAACUUCUUCUAUAGGGGACGAAACCCGGAUAUUCUUAUCCGAUUGACGGUACCCUGGGAAUAAGCACCGGCUAACUCCGUGCCAGCCGCCGCCGUAACAC
rnacentral:rRNA from 1 species